UUGGAGGGCAAGUCUGGUGCCAGCAGCCGCGGUAAUUCCAGCUCCAAUGGCGUAUAUUAAAGUUGUUGCAGUUAAAAAGCUCGUAGUUGAAUUUCGGGAUUGACACAUCGGUCGUGCCUUAAGGGGUAUGAACUGGUGUAGUCAAUUUCUCACCUUCUGGAGAACCGCGAUGCCCUUAAUUGGGUGUCGCGGGGAACCAGGACCUUUACUUUGAAAAAAUUAGAGUGUUUAAAGCAGGCAUUUUGCUUGAAUACAUUAGCAUGGAAUAAUAAAAUAGGACGGCAUGAUUCUAUUUUGUUGGUUUCUAGGAUCACCGUAAUGAUUAAUAGGGAUAGUUGGGGUCAUUAGUAUUCAAUUGUCAGAGGUGAAAUUCUUGGAUUUAUUGAAGACUAGCUACUGCGAAAGCAUUUGCCAAGGAUGUUUUCAUUAAUCAAGAACGAAAGUUAGGGGAUCGAAGACGAUCAGAUACCGUCGUAGUCUUAACCAUAAACUAUGCCGACUAGGAAUCAGAUGAUGUUAAUUUUUUAAUGACUCGUUUGGCGCCUUACGGGAAACCAAAGUGUUUGGGUUC
rnacentral:rRNA from 1 species